rnacentral:rRNA from 1 species
GUCGGUGGACCCCCACUGCUGCGGCCUUAAAGCG